UACGUAGGCAGCAAGCGUUGUUCGGAGUUACUGGGCGUAAAGGGUGCGUAGGCGGUUGUCUAAGUUUGGUGUGAAAUCUCCCGGCUCAACUGGGAGGGUGCGCCGAAUACUGAAUGACUAGAGUGCGGGAGAGGUGAGUGGAAUUCCUGGUGUAGCGGUGAAAUGCGUAGAGUAUCAGGAGGAACACCGGUGGUCGUAGACGGCUCACUGGACCGGUAACUGACGCUGAGACACGAAAGCGUGGGUAGCAAACAGG
rnacentral:rRNA from 1 species